rnacentral:rRNA from 1 species
ACGAUGAUGCCCAGCUUGCUGGGCGGAUUAGUGGCGAACGGGUGAGUAAUACGUGAGUAACCUGCCCUUGACUCUGGGAUAAGCCUGGGAAACUGGGUCUAAUACUGGAUACUACUGUCCACCGCAUGGUGGGUGGUGGAAAGGGUUUUACUGGUUUUGGAUGGGCUCACGGCCUAUCAGCUUGUUGGUGGGGUAAUGGCUCACCAAGGCGACGACGGGUAGCCGGCCUGAGAGGGUGACCGGCCACACUGGGACUGAGACACGGCCCAGACUCCUACGGGAGGCAGCAGUGGGGAAUAUUGCACAAUGGGCGGAAGCCUGAUGCAGCGACGCCGCGUGAGGGAUGACGGCCUUCGGGUUGUAAACCUCUUUCAGUAGGGAAGAAGCGAGAGUGACGGUACCUGCAGAAGAAGCGCCGGCUAACUACGUGCCAGCAGCCGCGGUAAUACGUAGGGCGCAAGCGUUGUCCGGAAUUAUUGGGCGUAAAGAGCUCGUAGGCGGUUUGUCGCGUCUGCUGUGAAAGCCCGGGGCUCAACCCCGGGUCUGCAGUGGGUACGGGCAGACUAGAGUGCAGUAGGGGAGACUGGAAUUCCUGGUGUAGCGGUGAAAUGCGCAGAUAUCAGGAGGAACACCGAUGGCGAAGGCAGGUCUCUGGGCUGUUACUGACGCUGAGGAGCGAAAGCAUGGGGAGCGAACAGGAUU